ACCAAGGACUGUGAUCGGUUGAAUACUCUCAACCGAUCACUGAAGUUAAGCGACGACGGGCGUGGUUAGUACUCGAAUAGGUGACCGUCUGGGAGAUCACGUGUUGUUGGUU
rnacentral:rRNA from 1 species